rnacentral:lncRNA from 1 species
CUCUAUAAUCGAAUAGACUCAUCCUCUCAGAUGGUGGUUCUGUCGCCUUAGUAUUGUCAGAUUUUUAAGUCAGUGCGCUUCACAUGACAUUUUCGCUCAUCAUGUGACCAAUAGUGUACAAAGCAUUAUUUUAUUUUGUAUUUGCAAAAUGAAUAGUGCCAAGGAAGUUUUAGAACUUCUCCUGUUGCAGGAAGCACAAGAGAAGAAUAAAGAUCAAAAUGAACAAACUUAUCAACAGUUACAUCAUUGUGUAUAAAGUUAAUAAAUUAUAAAUCAGAAUAAUGUCAUGUUUUGUUAAAGGAACUGGCUUUAUUGUUGACGAAACCACAUCUAAUAAAUCCGUAGACAAUUCUGAACUUUCCUGUGAGCCUUCGUAAUAUAGCAAGAAUUGCCAAAAUAUCGUUAUCAAACUUGUCACAAACUGAACCCUCAUAUAAUAUUCAGUUUUGUACAUUUUGCCCUCAUCACAAAAAUAGAAGAGUUAAAAAUAACUGUAAUUCUUGUCAUCGACCAAUUUGUCUAGAUGCCUCGUAUACCUGUUUAAAGUGCAUUGCCACAAAUUACAAAGAUACGGGGAUUGAUUAAUAUUAUAGGUUUAAUUCUGAUCAUCUAUUUUUUGUAUUGUUCUCAGUAUUAGUUAAUAAAAAAAAA